AGCAGCCGCCACGGGAAUACGUAGGGUGCGAGCGUUAAUCGGAAUUACUGGGCGUAAAGCGUGCGCAGGCGGUUGUGUAAGACAGGUGUGAAAUCCCCGGGCUUAACCUGGGAACUGCGCUUGUGACUGCACAGCUAGAGUAUGGCAGAGGGGGGUGGAAUUCCACGUGUAGCAGUGAAAUGCGUAGAGAUGUGGAGGAACACCGAUGGCGAAGGCAGCCCCCUGGGCCAAUACUGACGCUCAUGCACGAAAGCGUGGGGAGCAAACAGGAUUAGAUACCCGAGUAGUCCCUGUCUCUUAUAC
rnacentral:rRNA from 1 species